ACCUUGUAAUCUUACUCAUAUGUGAAGUUUAAAAUGAACAGAGAAGAGACAUGGUAUCACAGAAGCAGAAAAUAGAGAACUGGAUUCUAGAGACUGGGGAGAAAAGGAUGAAGAAAUAAGUUCUGGUUUAGUGGCUUCUAAAUUUUGUAAGAUUUUCCAGUAUCCUUCCAAUAAAAUUACUCUUUUGAUUAAGUGGAAAAAAUAUAAAAAGAAGAGAUAGAAAGGGUGAAAGGAAGACAGGAAUAUAGUCCAGUCAGAGGAAUUGGAGCAUGGACAAGAGCGCAGAAGUGUGAGACUCGGAAGAUCCACAUUCCUUUGCUCCUAGAUUUCUAAGAAGAAAAUUUUGGAGACCAGUCAGGGCUCUUCGAGAGAGUGGCAAUCUCAGUAGGAAUAAAAGAGACACAGGGAAGACAAGAGUCAUAAGAGCAUCUGCCACUACAAAUAAGUUUCAAAUAAGUCUGACACCUGGUUACAAGUCAGACAUUCAGGCAUCAGGCUGUCCACCAGGAUCAAGAAGUAUCCCACGAAAGACAUAUGCUAUUUAAAGAGGGAGAAAUAACCCAUACAACUUGGAGAGGAUAUACAGCCUCUAUAAGAUAUUAAGAUUUACAUAAUGGAAGACAAUACAGAUGCACCUUUUAUUAAGCAAAGGUAUUAUCUUGUUUAGUAUCUCCUUAAAUCCUUC
rnacentral:lncRNA from 1 species